rnacentral:rRNA from 1 species
GACGAACGCUGGCGGCGUGCUUAACACAUGCAAGUCGAACGGAAAGGCCCUGCUUGCAGGGUACUCGAGUGGCGAACGGGUGAGUAACACGUGGGUGAUCUGCCCUGCACUUCGGGAUAAGCCUGGGAAACUGGGUCUAAUACCGGAUAGGAGCCAUUUUUAUUGUGAUGGUUGGAAAGUUUUUUCGGUGUAGGAUGAGCUCGCGGCCUAUCAGCUUGUUGGUGGGGUAAUGGCCUACCAAGGCGGCGACGGGUAGCCGGCCUGUGAGGGUGGACGGCCACAUUGGGACUGAGAGACGGCCCAGACUCCUACGGGAGGCAGCAGGGGGGAAUAUUGCACAAUGGGCGCAAGCCUGAUGCAGCGACGCCGCGUGGGGGAUGACGGCCUUCGGGUUGUAAACUCCUUUCGCUAGGGACGAAGCUUUUUGUGACGGUACCUAGAUAAGAAGCACCGGCUAACUACGUG